GCGUCAGUAGUGCAACGGGUUCGAGCAUGCGCUCUUGGAUAGAGUGAGAUGUGGGUUCGAGUCUCACCUGGUGCU